GGAGGGUAUAGCUCAGUGGUAGAGUGCCUGCUUAGCAUGCAGGAGGUCCUGGGUUCAAUCCCCAGUACCUCUA
rnacentral:tRNA from 1 species